AACGUAGGACGCAAGCGUUAUCCGGAAUUACUGGGCGUAAAGCGCGUGUAGGUGGUUUUAUAAGUCACUGUUGAAAGCUCCUGGCUAAACUGGGAGAGGUGCGGUGAGACUGUAGAGCUAGAGUUUGGGAGAGGGGUGCGGAAUUCCGGGUGUAGUGGUGAAAUGCGUAGAGAUCCGGAGGAACACCAGAGGCGAAGGCGGCACCCUGGCCUAAUACUGACACUGAGACGCGAAAGCGUGGGGAGCGAACGGG
rnacentral:rRNA from 1 species